UACGUAGGGGGCAAGCGUUGUCCGGAUUUAUUGGGCGUAAAGAGCGUGUAGGCGGCCAGGUAGGUCUGCUGUGAAAACUCGAGGCUUAACCUCGAGCUGUCGGCGGAAACCAUCUGGCUAGAGUCCGGAAGAGGAGAAUGGAAUUCCCGGGUGUAGCGGUGAAAUGCGCAGAUAUCGGGAAGAACACCCGUGGCGAAGGCGGUUCUCUGGGACGGUACUGACGCUGAGACGCGAAAGCGUGGGGAGCGAACAGGAUAGAUACCCC
rnacentral:rRNA from 1 species